rnacentral:rRNA from 1 species
UACAGAGGGGGCAAGCGUUAUUCGGAAUUAUUGGGCGUAAAGCGCGCGUAGGCGGUGUUUUAAGUGAGAUGUGCAAUCCCCGAGCUUAACUUGGGAACUGCAUCUCAUACUGGAACGCUAGAGUAUCGGAGAGGGUGGUAGAAUUCCACGUGUAGCGGUGAAAUGCGUAGAGAUGUGGAGGAAUACCAGUGGCGAAGGCGGCCACCUGGACGGUAACUGACGCUGAGGUGCGAAAGUGUGGGUAGCAAACAGG